rnacentral:rRNA from 1 species
AUACGGAGGAUCCGAGCGUUAUCCGGAUUUAUUGGGUUUAAAGGGUGCGCAGGCGGCCAUUUAAGUCAGCGGUUAAAUCAUGGGGCUCAACCCCAUUCUGCCGUUGAUACUGGGUGGCUUGAUUGCGGUCGAGGUUGGCGGAAUUCGUUGUGUAGCGGUGAAAUGCAUAGAUAUGACGAAGAACACCGAUUGCGUAGGCAGCUGACCAGACCGCAAAUGACGCUCAUGCACGAAAGUGCGGGGAUCGAACAGGAUUAGAUACCCUGGUAGUCCGCACAGUAAACGAUGAAUACUUGUUUUCGGCGAUAUAAUGUCGGAGGCAAAGCGAAAGCGAUAAGUAUUCCACCUGGGGAGUACGCCGGCAACGGUGAAACUCAAAGGAAUUGACGGGG